AGUUCUCCAUAUGCUGUCAAUGAUAUUAUCACAGGAGGAAACAAAGGAGUGUUAAAACUGAAGAUCUCACAGUCAAACAGAAUGAUCUUUAUGCUGAUGUGUCACAGAGAGUUUCAGUCCAUGACGAGUCUCUUUCUGAACCUGAUCCAGUCAAUGAUGCUCUGUAUGUCAGUGUGACACCCAGCAGAUUCAGAGGAGAAACUCCUGAAUCCAGAGAUACUGAGGAGAUCCAGUACACAACUGUCCAACAUCACAGAAAGAAAGAGAGGAACAGACCAGAAGAAAAUGAAUGUCAGUAUGAUGAAAUAAGAGUUCAUCAGCUGCCAUGAGGGGAGAAAAAAACAACAUCUUCACCAGCACAGAUCAUCUAAUCAGAGCUGUAACAUCACUGUUGUCCUGUUUCUGUUUUUUCAGCCAAUCAAAUGUUCAAACUGCGAAAGAGCCUUCAGUGAUCUACAGCAGUGUCAAAUGAGAGAGUGUAUUAUGUUGUAUUGUGUAUUUAUGUGUGUUUAAAAAAAAAUCCAUGUUUUACUUUGUAUGUUCUUAUAACUAUGUUUAAUGGACCACAAAACCAUUCUUAAGUGUAAAUGUUUCGAAAUCGAGAUUUAUAUGUCAUCCUGCACCCCAUGUUACGUUAUGUGUUGGGGAAGUCGUGGCCUAGUGGUUAGAGAGUUUGACUUCUAACCCUAAGGUUGUGGGUUUGAGUCUUGGGCCGGCAAUACCACGACUGAGGUGCCCUUGAGCAAGGCACCAAACCCCCAACUGCCCCCCAGGCGCUGCAGCA